rnacentral:rRNA from 1 species
CCAUGCAUGUCUAAGUAUAAGCAACUAUACUGUGAAACUGCGAAUGGCUCAUUAAAUCAGUUAUAAUUUAUUUGAUAGUACCUUUACCUGGAUAACUGUGGUAAUUCUAGAGCUAAUACAUGCUAAAAACCUCGACUUCGGAAGGGGUGUAUUUAUUAGAUUAAAAACCAAUGCCCUUCGGGGCUCCUUGGUGAUUCAUAAUAACUUAACGAAUCGCAUGGCCUUGCGCCGGCGAUGGUUCAUUCAAAUUUCUGCCCUAUCAACUUUCGAUGGUAGGAUAGUGGCCUACCAUGGUAUCAACGGGUAACGGGGAAUUAGGGUUCUAUUCCGGAGAGGGAGCCUGAGAAACGGCUACCACAUCCAAGGAAGGCAGCAGGCGCGCAAAUUACCCAAUCCCGACACGGGGAGGUAGUGACAAUAAAUACUGAUACAGGGCUCUUUUGGGUCUUGUAAUUGGAAUGAGUACAAUGUAAAUACCUUAACGAGGAACAAUUGGAGGGCAAGUCUGGUGCCAGCAGCCGCGGUAAUUCCAGCUCCAAUAGCGUAUAUUAAAGUUGUUGCAGUUAAAAAGCUCGUAGUUGAACCUUGGGUCUGGCUGAUCUGUCCUCCUAAUCGAGCGCACGGAUUCGGCUGGAUCUUUCCUUCUGGGGAACCCUAUGCCCUUCACUGGGCGUAGUGGGGAACCAGGACUUUUACUUUGAAAAAAUUAGAGUGUUCAAAGCAGGCCUWUGCUCGAAUACAUUAGCAUGGAAUAAUAGAAUAGGACRKCGGUUCUAUUUUGUUGGUUUCUARGACCGCYGUAAUGAUUAAUAGGGAUAGUCGGGGGCGUCUGUAUUCAAUUGUCAGAGGUGAAAUUCUUGGAUUUAUUGAAGACAAACUACUGCGAAAGCAUUCGCCAAGGAUGUUUUCAUUAAUCAGUGAACGAAAGUUAGGGGAUCGAAGACGAUCAGAUACCGUCGUAGUCUUAACCAUAAACUAUGCCGACUAGGGAUCGGACGGUGUUUCUUUUUAUGACCCGUUCGGCACCUUACGAGAAAUCAAAGUYUUUGGGUUCUGGGGGGAGUAUGGUCGCAAGGCUGAAACUUAAAGAAAUUGACGGAAAR